UCCCGAUUGCCAGUUUUAACAUUUGCGAGAAAAGUAAGCGUGUUUUAAAUUAAACUUCAUUACAACGGAAACCAUAUUGAAACAACUGUAAAGUUUUAGUAACUAAGUUUAUGACCAAACUACUAAUGUUUAUUCUAUAAAUGUCUGUCGAAAGAAACAAAGGGUUCUGGAAUAGAGUCGAGUUGGAACUGUCAACUUUUGAAAGACGUUGGUUUGCCGAUGUUAUUGAUAAAAGUGAUAAGGACUAUAAAGAACACUCCAAUAUGGAACAAUUAAUUGAAAAAAAUAUUGGAAAUCAACUAUGUCUAGCUGGGCCAUUGAUAGAUGGCUAUUUAAAGGAGAUAGGUAAAACUCUCUAUAGGAGACUGGCAAAAGGACAAGCCACGGGUUUAAUGCCAAUUAUUUCUAUGUAUAUUCCAUAGCAGAUCUAUAAAUCUAUUGCUGCAUUGUGUUCAGCAUACAGAGGAAAAAAGGAGAUAGUGAAAUGGAAGAGAAAAUAUGCUAUAAAAAAGUUGGUUAUUACAAUUGAUCAAAAGGCUACUAUAGAAAAAGUUUUUGAUCCAUGGAGAUUGCAAGGGAUUAACUAUUUACUGAAGCGAGUUUAUAAAAAAAAAAAAAGUGAUGUCAGUAACAAAACAAUACAUGAAUUUACUGGAAAAGCAAUUGUUCCAAUAACAUCAAAAACUCCCUUAAGGUUUGAGUAUUGUUUAAAUAAAAACAUUUUUUAUUAUAUUUAAAGAUAUGAUGCAAAUGGUUUUGCUAUUGAUGGAACAGUUUAAUCUUUAAUGAACCAGUAGUAGAGCAUCUGAGAAAAAUCUUUAACAUUAAAUUAACACAAAAAGUUGGACAUCUUUUAAUUUUAUUUACAAACAAAUAUCAAUC